rnacentral:rRNA from 1 species
AUGCUAGUGUCAAAAACGUUCUUAUAUUUUAGGACGGAGGGAGUAGAUCAAAAACCCUGGAAGUUGCUUAUUGAACACAAGUACCUGGCCAAUAAGCCUAACAUCUUUGCCUCCUCCUCCAACCAAAAAAUCUCUAGAUUCUGGAAAGGGUUGAAGUCUACUGUCCAUGCGGUGAAAUUUGGAUACGGGUGGAACAUUGGGGAUGGGAGCAAAACUAGAUUCUGGGAAGAUACUUGGUUUAGCACUUCCCCUCUAGCUGUCCAAUUUUGGCCUGUCUACUCGGUCUACAAUGAACAAAACAAAUGUGUGAAUGAGGUUUGGGAUGGUCAAUGCCUCAAACUCUCAUUCGGGAGGAACUUUAGUGACAAACUUAUGGAACAAUGGUUCCAGUUGGAGGAAAUUGCUAGAAGUAUUGUCCUUUCUGACGAGCCGGAUUCUCUGAUGUGGCAACUAGAAAACAAGGGGCAAUACUCAUCUAGCUCCCUCUAUCAUAUUAUCAAUUUUAGAGGGGUCCAGCCUAUUUUUGUACCAGCAUCUGGAAAUUGA